UACAGAGGCAUUUUCUUUCUGUUCUGGUGCCAGUGGUUAUGGCCAAGAAUUUCAACACAAUUUAGUAAUUACCUUGUAACUUCAAUUACUUGGCAUGCUUAUACCUUGGAACGACCCAGAUACGACCCCAUCUGUAGCUAAGGGCAGGUGACUCUAUUAAGCAUUUUUGCAGAAUUAUGUCCCUUUACUAUCCUGCACUGAGAAAAGUGGACCGCACUGCUCCUUGGACAGUACUGGUCUUUUCAUGUAAUUGCCCAUCUUUUUUACAGUUCAUUAAAAUGGAAAACAUGCAUGUGGAUACUGAAAUUAUCCAUGGUAUAAAAAUGUGGUUCUUCUAAAUUAUGUAUAUAUAUAUUCAGAGAAUUCACGGGCAAAAAGACUGGUGCUCAGAUUUGAGAAUCCAGCAAUGAAGUAAUAUGCUUGCCAUUCUUUAUUUUCUAUUUUACAUAACCACAAUUAAUCUAGAUCAAGAGGAGUUACCUGAUGAAGUGCCUGUUACUUUACAAAACGAAGACGAGGACUACCAACCAGGACUAGAUGAUGGUACAUACCAUUUUAUUUCGACAUUCACAUUGGCCAACAUUUAUUUGGGCAGUUUAAAUUUGAACAUGCAGUGCUCGAUCGAUAUAAAAUACACAGCAGGGAUUCGCCUUGAGUCACAUAUAACAUGAGAAAAACUAUUCAUCUGAAAUACCCAGCAGAGAUUUGGAAGUAUAUCCAGGAAGUCAUUGGACAAAAAAGAAAGAGAUGGUCACACGUAGAAAUGGCUGAUUUAACAACCUUAUUUUAAGAAAACUUAGAGACACUGACAAUGCCUAGUAUGAAAGCAUGCUUGAAGGCCAUACAAUCGAGCAAGAAGAAAAAUGGACAGAUAUGCCAAAGGUCCUGGGAGACAAUUAGAAACAAGAGGGCCAUGAAGGCCCUGUAACGCUCACCUGACCAAGUUUCAUUAAGAUAUGGUCAUAAAUGUGGCCUUUUAAGUGUUAACUAGCAUUUCCUUUGAUUUGACCAGGUGACCUAGUUUUUGACCCCAAAUGACCCAGAUUCCAACUUGACCUAAAAAGCAUCAAUAUUAACAUCCUGACUAAGUUUCAUGAAGAUACACUCAUAAAUGUGGCCUCUAAAAUGUUAAAAAGCUUUUCCUUUGAUUUGACCUAGUGACCUAGUUUUUGACCACACCUUAUCCAGAUUUUAACUUGACCUAUAGAUCAUCAAGAUCAACAUUCUGACCAAGUUUCAUGAAGAUACGGUCAUAAAAGUGGCCUUUACAGUGUUAACUAGCUUUUCCUUUGAUCUGACCUGAUGACCUAGUUUUUGAUCCUACAUGACCCUGAUUCAAUCUGGACCUUGAGACCAUCAAGAAUAACAAUCAUCCAGUGGGAUAAAGAAUGUAUUAUUCCGCAACUAACUAAGCUGUUGAGUUGGAGAAGUUGGAGAAUAAACUAUUUAUAAAAAUGGAUUUAGAGGACAGUGCCACGGUUUUUAAGUCUAUUUGUUUUGGGUUUAACGACGUUUACCAACAGUAUUUCAGUUAUGUAAUGGCGGGCAGUUAACCUAACCAGUGUUCCUGGAUUCUGUGCCAGUAAAAACCUGUUCUCCGCAAGUAACUGCCAACGUCCCCACAUGAAUCAGAGGUGGAGGACUAAUGAUUUCAGACACAAUGUCGUUUAUCAAAUAGUCACGGAGAACACACACCCCGUCCUGGGAUCGAACUUACGACCCCGCGAUCCGUUGACCAACGCUCUUACCAACUGUGCUAAGCGGACGACGGUUUUUAAGAGCACAAAUUGGGUGAUUAGACAAAAACAAAAAAUAAAUGAUAAAUAUAAAUCGUAUACCGAUUCUAAUGUGACUGAAAGUAAAAACAUUUACAGUUCAUUUUACAUUUGAUUAUUGUCUAGUAUGUAACAAGAAAUUCUUGAUCAGUAGCUCUGAUACUAUUAAGUAUAACUUUUGUCGUUUUCAGAGCUCUAUGGUGAAGGUUCAUAUCAGUAACCUGCACAACCCUCCUGUUUGCAAGCAGCUAAGGCCUUUAGACUACAACCACAUUGCAAAUCUCAAUGUUGCAAUCAGUGAGUCGUUUUGGCAAGAGCUCAUCACCACGGUUGGUUAGUUGAUAAACGCCCGGAUAAUUUAAAAGACUUUGUUAUACCUGGAAAGAUCUCUGUCCAUGUAAUCAUUCAAGGCUAGCUAUACAAGAAUUGAAAGUCACAGACUUUGUAUCUGUAGAGGUAUUGGCCCAGUUAACAGAUGCUCAAGCCCCAUUGGUUGGACUAGAACACAACAAGAUACACGGCAAUGCUACGAAAAUGACAUUCAAGCAUUGCGCUCUUUUAUUCCGAAAUGUUUUUGACUCGACAAAAUUGAAACAUGCAGAUUUACCAACUAAAAAAUAUUGGAAUUGAAGAGAUCAGAAGCUGCUGGUAUAACAGGAAAUUGUUAUGUUGUAUUUAACAAGAAAUUCUUGAUCAGUAGCUCUGAUACUAUUAAGUAUAACUUUUGUCGUUUUCAGAGUUCUAGGGUGAAGGUUCAUAUCAGUAACCUGCACAACCCUCCUGUUUGCAAGCAGCUAAGGCCUUUAGACUAUAACCACAUUGCGAAUCUCAAUGUUGCAAUCAGUGAGUCGUUUUGGCAAGAGCUCAUCACCACGGUUGGUUAAUUGAUAAACGCCCGGAUAAUUUAAAAGACUUUGUUAUACCUGGAAAGAUCUCUGUCCAUGUAAUCAUUCAAGGCUAGCUAUACAAGAAUUGAAAGUGACAGACUUUGUAUCUGUAGAGGUAUUGGCCCAGUUAACAGAUGCUCAAGCCCCAUUGGUUGGACUAGAACACAACAAGAUACACGGCAACGCUACGAAAAUGACAUUCAAGGAUUGCGCUCUUUUAUUCCGAAAUGUUUUUGACUCGACAAAAUUGAAACAUGCAGAUUUACCAACUAAAAAAUAUUGGAAUUGAAGAGAUCAGAAGCUGCUGGUAUAACAGGAAAUUGUUAUGUUGUUUUAAAUCAUGUUCAGCCAAAAUACUGUAUUGUAUUUGCCUAUGAUGUGACCUUUAUAUUUCAAUUGUACGUUAAAGAUUGGGAUUCCAAGGUCGCAGUUGUCGAAUGUGAAAUAUUUUUGUCCUACUAAACAAGGAAAAGUUCGAACUGUUCUACUCACUUUUUCAUUGGCGUCGGCGUUGACGUCGGCUUGUCGUAAUGCUUUGGUUAAAGUUUAUGUGUACGUUCGUAUCUCUGUAACUAUUACAGAUAUUCAACUGAAACUUCGCACAUUAUCUUCGGAGUAUGGCAAAGACCCAUAACUCUGACUUGCAUGAUAGUAGAAAUAGUCUCUUUUUUCAGAUAAAAACAAGAGCUGUCGGAUGACAGCGCGCUCGACUAUUCGAAGAAUUGAUUGAAGAAUGGGGUCAAAAUAUUACCACAGAUUUUCAGACAAAAGAAAAAAUAGAUUAGACAAACAAUAUUCCUGUAUUUGUUGAUUUCAAUAAGUCUUGCACUAAAUGGCAAUGCAAGACCAUGAUGGUAUUGAAGUGUUCAAAGUUUCAAAGUCAAACAGUUUAAACAAAAUAUGGAACGGUAUGAGAAACUUAACUUAUUUCUAUGUCAAAACAGAUCUAAACUGAGUUAAAGUCCUUUGCCUAGUUAUGAAGUCUUGCCUAUAUAAUGUAAACUGUGAUGGUAAACAAGUGGUCAAAGUUUCAAAGCCAUAUCACAAACUUGUUAGGCAAAAUAUGGACUUGUAUGAAAAAUUUAACUAAUUUCCAAGUCUAAAAAGGGCAAUAAUUCAGCCAAAAUAGUUGACACAGUUAUGUACUCUUGCCUACAGAUGGUAACCAUGUUGAUAAACAAGUGUAUAAAGUUUCAAAGCCACACGUUAGAUAGUUUUAAAAAAAUGCUGACUUGUAUAAAAAACUGAACAAAUUUCAAAAUCCAACAAGAGCUGUCACUUAUGGUGACAUAUUGACCUGGUCACCUUGACCUUUGACCUGGUGACCCUAAGGUCAAUAGGGGUCAUGUACUCAAUAAGUACUAUCAGCAUGUGAAGUUUGAAGGUCCUGGGUGCAGUGGUUCGCGAGUAAAGUGCCUUCAUGCAAAACGUUAACGUUGUGACGAACGAACUAACGAACGAACAGACGGACAGUUGAAAACUAAUAUGUCCCCUUCGAGGGCAUAAAAAGGGUCACAAUUUAGCCAAAUUUGUUGUCAGAGUUAUGUACCAAUUUCCAAGUCCAAAAAGGGCCAUAAUUCGCCAAAAUAGACGACAGAGUUAUGUGUUCUUGCCUACAGAUAUAGACUAUUACACUGAACAAGUGAUAAAAGUUUCAAAGCCAUAUGUCAAACACUUUACAUAAAAUGUGGACUGGUACGAAAAACUUAACAAAGAUUUCCAAGUCAAAAGGGGCCGUAAUUCAGCCAAAAUCCUUGAUGGAGUUAUGUACUCUUGCCUAUAAUUGAAAAUAGUGAUGGUAAACAAGUGUUGAAAGUUUCAAAGCUUUAUCUCAAAAGACUUUGUCAAAAUGUGGACUGGUACGAAAAACUUAACCAAGGUGUAACACAGACGUCGACGCCGAUGCUGUGGUUAAGUAGGACAGCUCUACUUAUUCUUCGAGCUAAAAAGGUGAGACAAAAAGAGCUGUCACUAAUGGUGACAAAUGCCCCCGCAGCGCCUUGACCUUUGACCUGGUGACCCCAAAGUCAGUAGGGGUCGUGUACUCAAUAAGUACUAUCAACAUGUGAAGUUUGAAGUUGCCUUCAUGCAAAAAGUUAACGUUGUAACAAACGAACAAACGGACGGACUGUUGAAACCUAACACGCCUCCCUUCGGGGGAAUAAAAAGAAAUAAGUACUAUCAGCCUGUGAAGUUUGUAGGUCCUGGGUGCAGUGGUUCGCGAGUAAAGUGCCUCCAUGCAAAAAGUUAACAUUGGCCCCGGUGACCUUGACCUGGUCGUGUACUCAAUAAGUACUAUCAGCAUGUGAAGUUUGAAGGUCCUUGGUGCAGUGGUUCGCGAGUAAAGUGCCUUCAUGCAAAAAGUUAACAUUGGCCCUUGUAACCUUGACCUUUGGCGUGGUGACCCCAAAGUCAGUAGGGGUUGUGUACUCAAUAAGUACUAUCAGCAAGUGAAGUUUGAAUGUCCUGGGUGCAGUGGUUCGCAAGUAAAGUGCCUUCAUGUAAAAAGUUAACGUUGUGACGAAAGAACUAACGGACGGACAGUUGAAAACUAAUAUGCCUCCCUUCGGUGACAUAAAUUCGGGGGCAUAAAAAUUCGUCAUUAUACUGAUUAAGAUUAGGGGUGUGGGGGUUGUGUUUUAAAAAACACUAUCAUUGGGCGUUUUCGACUGGGGAUUUGUGUUAACCACUUCGAUAGCGUUGAGCAGUUUUUUUUUUGUUCGGCUGGGACACUUGAUUCUUUGCGUUGAACACAACUUCUUCCAAAGGAGUACGCUGAAAAAUCAGCGUUAACCUGAUCACGAGACGGAGACAUGGCGUAGUCUGUCAGAAAGGAAAGUGGAAAAGGGUAAUUCUGUUCGUUAGGUUGCUUUGAACUUGUGAAGAAGCUUACAACAAGAAUAAUCUCUUUUGCUGCAUAACCCAGUUGUAAUAGAUAACCCAUUCUAGUGUCAAUAAGCAGUAUUUUCUACAGAAGAUGAAAACCAAUCUGGAAAAGCCGUUCCCAGCUGGAUUCGUACCCUUAUGAGUUGUAGUAAAAAACUGUAUGUCUUGUCCGAAUAUUUGACAAUUUCUUUUUAUCACUUUAAGUCUUAAUAAAUUAAAAGGCAAACGUUGAAUGACUAAGGAUAACAAUUACAUUAGCAUGUGUUGAAUGCUCAAAUACUUAAAAUGCUGCGUUUAUUCCGAUGUCGACAGUAUUAAACACUGUUAAACUUAAGCCCUUAACUUUAUUUUCAGGUACUGGCAGACAGUUACGCUUCAAUAUGCAGAUGGUUAUAAACUUACUGUAACUCUUGACUUGCCUGCAAUCCAGAGAUUACAGAAUGGUUGUAGGUAGAAAGAGUAGACUCAAAAUUAGUUACUGUCAGUUCUGUUCAAGGUGUUUUGAGAACUGCUGUAUAGGACUUAAAAUUGCUUCAGAACUACUGAACUCGGACCCUUGCCUGUCUACCAAAUUAAGGAUUGGGUGGUUUAGGUAAAACAGUGCCACAUAAACUUCUGUUUCUAUUUAUAUUUUUUAAAAUAUAUGACCUGCUAUUUUGAUAGAGUAAUAAAUGUGUUUUUUUUCCAGAUAAUCAGCUGAUGGAAAAAAUAAGAGCCUCAACUACUACUUCAAUUCCAGGUCACUCAGAAUUGGCACCACGCACCUCUGCCAUGGAUGUAGCUGAAACUGAUGAAAGCAGUACUGGUCCUUCAGAGUAGUCUUUAGAUUCGACUUACAUACAUUGGCAAAGAGAGGCGAUACUGUUACUUAUAAGUUUAUACAGGGAAAAUGAAGACCGUUUAGAAUACCCAAAAUUACGGAAAAAAGAUGUAUGGAAAGUUAUAAGUGACAAAAUGAAAAAAGUAGUUAUGAAUUCACACAGAAUAAAGUGGAAAGUAAGUGGCGCAGUUUGCUACAAUCCAAUAAAGACGUGAGAGUUAAUAACACAAGUACCGGAAAGAAGCACAAGACAUUCCAAUACUUUGAAGAAAUUGAAGACAUUGUUGCCAAGAGCCAUGACAUCUAUCCAAAGGUCAAAGCAGGCUCUGAUAUUCAUUCACCAAGCACAAAGACUUUUAAGAACUACUAAGUCUGUUGUUGACCCUUCACCUGAAUCAGGCUCUGAUAUUAAUUCACCAAGUUCGAUUUCUCCAGACACUACUAAGUCUGUUGCUGAUGGCCCAUCUACACCUUAAACUACAAAAAAGAAAGCAAGGAAUGAGAAAAAGCAACAGAAACAAGAUACAGGUCAGCAAAUACUUUCUAAAAGAGAGUGAAAGCAGGCGAAGACAAGAGAGUGAAGACAGAGAGAGAAAACGGGAUGAAAGGGCAAAGGAAAGAAAUGAAAAUUUUAAGCAGAUGCUGGAUGUGCUUAGAAGAUUACAUUUAAACAUACAUCACCUUAUGGUGAUACAAGUUGUGUGCAAGUUUGGUAAAAAUCAAAUUAUAAAUAAAGCUGCUAUUGAGCAGACAAGGUCAAAAUAGCUAAUUUUGGCCCUGCAGGGGCCAUAACUCUGGAACCCAUGAUGGGGUAUGGCCAGUUCAAGAAAGGAACCGAGAUCUUAAGGAGAUACAAGUUGUGUGCAAGUUUGGUUAAAAUAAGAUCAUAAGUGAAAUCACUAUCGUGCAGACAAGAAAUUUUUGACGGACGGACGGACGACGGACGAAGGGUGAUCACAAAAGCUCACAAUGUCACGACGUGACAGGUGAGCUAAUAACAACCUAAAACAGGAUAUGUCUAAACACAGCAAUGCACGUAAAGAACUCUACCUUAUAUAUUCAAAAUUUUGAACAAGAUCAGUGCUAAAAUUAAGAAACUGCAAGUGAAAAACCU